GCCGGGCGUGGUGGUGCACGCCUGUAAUCCCAGCUACUUGGGAGGCUGAGGCAGGAGAAUUGCUUGAACCCAGGAGGCAGAGGUUGCAGUGAGCUGAGAUCGCGCCACUGCAGUCCAGCCUGGGUGACAGAGCAAGGCUCCGUCUCAA
ensembl:misc_RNA Metazoa_SRP Metazoan signal recognition particle RNA